rnacentral:rRNA from 1 species
GGGUCAGUAGGUUGGUCGUGCCACCGGUACGUACUGGUCUAACUGAUUCCUCCUUCCUGAAGAACCGUAAUGCCAUUAAUUUGGUGUUGCGGGGAAACAGGACUGUUACUUUGAAAAAAUUAGAGUGUUUAACGCAAGCUAACGCUUGAAUACAUUAGCAUGGAAUAAUGAAAUAGGACGAUCGAUCCUAUUUUGUUGGUUUCUAGGAUUGACGUA